CUCCACCCCCACUAGCUCAUAGAGAAGGCAGCCUUAUUCUCAGGUCUCUUUCAAAAGGGGAAGCCCAAACUAUAGAGCAAGAAAUGUUCCUUUGAGAAAGACCCCAUGAAGAAACAGUAUGAGAAGAGAAGCGUUUUAGGUGUUUGAGCCACUGCAUGCACAGGAUUUAAAACCAUUUGCUACUUAAAGCAGGGUUCCACACAAA